UGGGGAGUCGCCAAGUGGUAAGGCACCUGGUUUUGGUCCAGGCAUUCGAGGGUUCAAAUCCUUCCUCCCCAGCCA
rnacentral:tRNA from 1 species